rnacentral:rRNA from 1 species
GGUAAGAUCGUUCGAGCUGGUGGGAUAUGACGUGGGGGGCAAGCGUUGUCCGUAUUUGUUGGGCGGAAAGGGUGCUCAGGUGGUUUCUUAAGUCUUAGGUGAAAGCCCACGGCUUAACCGUGGAGGGUCAUUGGAAACUGGGAAACUUGAGGACAGAAGAGGAAUGUGGAACUCCAUGUGUAGCGGUGGAAUGCGUAGAUAUAUGGAAGAACACCAGUGGCGAAGGCGACAUUCUGGUCUGUUACUGACACUGAGGCUCGAAAGCGUGGGGAGCAAACAGGAUUAGAUACCCGAGUAGUC